UACGUAGGGGGCUAGCGUUGUCCGGAUUUAUUGGGCGUAAAGAGCGUGUAGGCGGCCAGGUAGGUCUGCUGUGAAAACUCGAGGCUCAACCUCGAGACGUCGGCGGAAACCAUCUGGCUAGAGUCCGGAAGAGGCGAGUGGAAUUCCUGGUGUAGCGGUGGAAUGCGCAGAUAUCAGGAGGAACACCUGUGGUGUAGACGGCUCUCUGGACCGCAACUGACGCUGAGACACGAAAGCGUGGGUAGCAAACAGG
rnacentral:rRNA from 1 species